rnacentral:rRNA from 1 species
CCUACGGGGGGCUGCAGUGGGGAAUAUUGGGCAAUGGGCGCAAGCCUGACCCAGCAAUGCCGCGUGGGUGAAGAAGGUCUUCGGAUUGUAAAGCCCUUUCGGCGGGGACGAUGAUGACGGUACCCGCAGAAGAAGCCCCGGCUAACUUCGUGCCAGCAGCCGCGGUAAUACGAAGGGGGCUAGCGUUGCUCGGAAUUACUGGGCGUAAAGGGCGCGUAGGCGGCGCCAGUAGUCAGGCGUGAAAUUCCUGGGCUCACCCUGGGGGCUGCGCUGGAUACGCUGGUGCUAGAGGACGGAAGAGGCUCGCGGAAUUCCCAGUGUAGAGGUGAAAUUCGUAGAUAUUGGGAAGAACACCGGUGGCGAAGGCGGCGAGCUGGUCCGUUACUGACGCUGAGGCGCGACAGCGUGGGGAGCAAACAGGAUUAGAUACCCGUGUAGUC